rnacentral:misc_RNA from 1 species
CCCCGGUAGAGUAGCCCCCGGUCAACUACCCCGGGGGCCCUCGCCAGAUCCGGACAAGGAGAUUUCCACCAUCCGG